GAUGAACGCUGGCGGCGUGCUUAACACAUGCAAGUCGAACGGAAAGGCUCCUGCUUGCAGGGGUACUCGAGUGGCGAACGGGUGAGUAACACGUGGGUGAUCUGCCCUGCACUUCGGGAUAAGCCUGGGAAACUGGGUCUAAUACCGGAUAGGACGAUGGUUUGGAUGCCAUUGUGGAAAGUUUUUCGGUGUGGGAUGAGCUCGCGGCCUAUCAGCUUGUUGGUAGGGUAAUGGCCUACCAAGGCGUCGACGGGUAGCCGGCCUGAGAGGGUGUACGGCCACAUUGGGACUGAGAUACGGCCCAGACUCCUACGGGAGGCAGCAGUGGGGAAUAUUGCACAAUGGGCGCAAGCCUGAUGCAGCGACGCCGCGUGGGGGAUGACGGCCUUCGGGUUGUAAACUCCUUUCGCUAGGGACGAAGCGCAAGUGACGGUACCUGGAGAAGAAGCACCGGCUAACUACGUG
rnacentral:rRNA from 1 species